CUUCUUUGGACCCAAGGCCCGCCCAGCGGGCCCGAUCCGAGCGGAGGACAUUGUCAGGUGGGGAGUUUUGGCCUGGGCCGCGGCACAUCUGUUUAAAAGAUAACGCAGGUGUCCUAAGAUGAGCUCGACCGAGAACAGAAAUCUCGUGUGGAACAGCAAGGGUAAAAGCUCGUUUGAUUCUGAUUUUCAGUACGAAUACGAACGUGAAAGCGUGGCCUAACGAUCCUUAGACCUUCGAAUUUGAAGCUAGAGGUGUCAGAAAAGUUACCACAGGGAUAACUGGCUUGUGGCCAGCCAAGCGUUCCAUAGCGACGUGCUUUUUGAUCCUUCGAUGUCGGCUCUCCUAUCAUUGUGGAAGCAGAAUUCAACCAAGUGUGGAUUUGUGCACCCACCAAUAGGGAACGGGGAGUAAACCCGUGCGGCGCAAGAACUGAUUGCGGAUUCCCCUCGCGGGCUGCGCCGCCGACCGACCUUGAUCUUCUGAGAAGGUUCGAGUGAAGAGAUACCUGUCGGGACCCGAAAGAUGGUGAACUAUGCCUGAGCGGGGCGAAGCCAGAGGAAACUCUGGGGGAGGCCGAAGCGAUAUCUGACGUGCCAAAUCGUUUCGUCUGACUUGGUAUAGGGCGAAAGACUAAUCGAACCGUCAGUAGCUGGUUCCCCGAAAAAGUUCCCUCAGGAUAGCUGGAGCUGGAAUGCGAGUUCUAUCGGUAAGCCAAUGAUUAGAGGCAUCGGGGGCGCAACGGCCCUCGACCUAUUCUCAAACUUUAAAUAGGUUAGGACGUCGCGGCUGCUUCGUUGAGCCGCGACACGGAAUCGAGAGCUCCAAGUGGGCCAUUUUUGGUAAGCAGAACUGGCGAUGCGGGAUGAACCGGAAGCCGGGUUACGGCGCCGGAUGCGCGCUAACCUAGAUCCCACAAAGGGUGUUGGUCGAUUAAGACAGCAGGACGUGGUCAUGGAAGUCGAAAUCCGCUAAGGAGUGUGUACAACUCACCUGCCGAAUCAACUAGCCCCGGAAAAAUGGAUGGCGCUUAAGCGCGCGACCUACCCCCCGUCGGGCAGUGCCAGGCCCCGAUGAGUAGGAGGGGCGGCGGUCGCCGCAAAGCCUGUUGGGCGCGAGCCAGGGGCGGAGCGGCCGUCGGUGCAUAUCUUGGUGGUAGUAGCAAAUAUUCAAGUGAGAACUUUGAAGGCCGAAGAGGGGAAAGGUUCCAUUGUGAACGGCACUUGCACAUGGUUAGUCGAUCCUAAAGACGGGGAAGCCCCGUCCGACGCGCGCCAGCGCGAGCUUCGAAAGGGAUCGGUUAACAUUCUGAACCGGGACGUGGCGGCUGACGGCAAAUGUUAGGGAGUCCGGAGACCGUCGCGGGGCCUCGGAAGAGUUAUCUUUUCUGUUUAACAGCCUGCCCACCCUGGAAACGGCUCAGGAGGAGGUAGGGUCGCCACGGCCGGAAGAGCACCGCACGUCGCGUGGUGUCCGGUGCGCCCCGGCGGCCCUUGAAAAUCCGGAGGACCGAGUGGCCGACCACGCCCGGUCGUAUCAUAACCGCAUCAGGUCUCCAAGGUGAACAGCCUCUGGUCGAUGGAACAAUGUAGGCAAGGGAGGUCGGCCAAAAAUGGAUCCGAACUUCGGGAAAAGAUUGGCUCAUUAGCUGGGCACGGGGGUCCAGUCCAAUACCCGUCCGGUGUGCGUGGACUGCUCGAAGCUGCCUCGCGCGGCGAGAGGCGGUCGCCGCGUGCCGGCCGGGGGACGGCUGGGAACGGUCCCUCGGGGGCCCCCUUCCCCGGGCCGUCGAACAGCUCCGCAUCAGAACUGGUACGGACAAGGGGAAUCCGAUGUUAAUUAAAACAAAGCAUUUGCGAUGUCCCUGAGGAUGCUGACGCAAUGUGAUUCU
rnacentral:rRNA from 1 species